ACUUCUCCUAGACUUACAGUCAGGAAAUCCUAGAGGAAUAUGAACGCCUACUCUGUGAACCUGGCAGCCAGGUUUUCAUCUCAUCCAUCUAUCUUCAAGUUGAUUGAAAAGCUCCUGUAUGUGAAUCUGCCUAGUUCUUCCUCAUUGCAGCAAACAUCAGAUGAGCAAAUCAUUGUCAGUUUUUCUUUGCUGGCAUUUCCAGCAUUUCCUUUCUUUCCC